GACGAACGCUGGCGGCGUGCCUAAUACAUGCAAGUCGAACGCAGUGGGGACGGGUGAGUAACACGUGGGUAACCUCCCAUCAGAGGAGAUAACACGUGGAAACAGGUGCUAAACCGAUACUGAUUGAUGAACUCGCAGGGCAUUAGCUACUUGGUGAGGUAAAGGCUCACCAAGGCCACGAUGCAUAGCCGAUCUGCGAGGGUGAUCGGCCAAACUGGGACUGAGACACGGCCCAGACUCCUACGGGAGGCAGCAGGAGGGAAUCUUCGGCAAUGGACGAAAGUCUGACCGAGCAACGCCGCGGGAGUGAAGAAGGUUUUCGGAUUGUAAAACUCUGUUGGUAGAGAAGCGGUAUCUAAACAGAAAGCCACGGCUAACUACGUGCCAGCAGCCGCGGUAAUUC
rnacentral:rRNA from 1 species